ensembl:lncRNA
AUUACAUAUACAGAAUUCUAAAUUUGACAUUAAUCAUAUGAACUAUACCAAAUCAAUAAUAAGAUUAAUAAUUGUUAUUUACUUUAAUCUAUUGACUGCCCCUACAUUUGUAAGAUUAAACUAAUAUUAUCACACAAUAAUUGUUUUUGAAUAUCUUGUUGCUUGGUAAAAUGUGAAAGUAUUCAAUAACAUCAAAUAAAAAUUUUAUUAUUGCAGACACAGCCAUGAAUGCGGCAUUUGCUGUUGGCCGUCUGUGUGGUAGCAAACAAGCCAAGAUCCUCAUUCUGAGAGUGGCCAAAGAGCAUCAGCUGGUUAGUCGCCUGCAGACUCUGCUGUUGAGUGGGUCAGGAGUGGAGAUGGGGCAAACAGUGUGCUUUGCUCUGAGCUGCUUAGCAAAUGAGGAAGAUGGCCAUGCUCUGCUGAUGGAAAGCACCUGUGUCCCUACAUUGCUGAAUGGUCUUUUACAGCUGUUGCAGAGCCCAGACCCAGACAGUAUCUGGUUUGCUGCUAUGACAGUACGAAUACUGGUUUCCCGGCCGAGUGGAGUGGUCCCUGUCAGGAUCCAUUGCUCUCUGCAUGAGCAGUUGAAGGUUUCAUGAUUAUUGUGUUCAUAACACAACAGUG